CCUACGGGUGGCAGCAGUGAGGAAUAUUGGUCAAUGGGCGUAAGACUGAACCAGCCAAGUCGCGUGAGGGAGGAAGGUUCUGUGGAUCGUAAACCUCUUUUAUAAGGGAACAAAGACUGGGACGUGUCCUGGGUUGUAUGUACCUUAUGAAUAAGGAUCGGCUAACUCCGUGCCAGCAGCCGCGGUAAUACGGAGGAUACGAGCGUUAUCCGGAUUUAUUGGGUUUAAAGGGUGCGUAGGCGGCCUUUUAAGUCAGCGGUGAAAGUCUGGGGCUCAACCCGAGAAGUGCCGUUGAAACUGGCAGGCUUGAGUAUGAUAGAGGCAUGCGGAAUGCGCGGUGUAGCGGUGAAAUGCUUAGAUAUCACGCAGAACCCCGAUUGCGAAGGCAGCAUGCCAAGCCCUGACUGACGCUGAUGCACGAAAGCGUGGGGAUCAAACAGGAUUAGAUACCCUGGUAGUC
rnacentral:rRNA from 1 species